AGAGAGAGAGAGAGAGAGAGAGAAAUCUAAAUCUCAAAUUAGAUGCCAGCCGAAGCUGAAAUAGCUCUUAAUUUUAUCUCUGCUAGAUCUUGAACAGAGAACUGAAUACAUCCUGCCCAGGCUUCUGAUUGAACUCCGAGAUAAUGAGCUUAGUUUAUUGCUCAUAAGCUUGCGGUGACUUGCUCUGCCACCAUGGAACGUGAAUACGGGCAGCAAGAACAGUGUACUCUGUAGCCCAGGCUAGCCUCACCCUCAGCAAUCGUCC
rnacentral:lncRNA from 1 species